AGCAGUGCAAGUAAACGAACAAUAAAUAUUUAAGAGUAAAAAAAUAAAUAUACACUUUAGGACCAGGAGUAAAGGGAUCAAUAACAAUUUAAAUGUAUAUUUUAUAUUUUGUUGAUUUAAAGUCUCACACACAACCCGUUUUUAAAGUUUUAAAAAAAGAGAAAAGAAGAGGAGUGUAGCGAGAGGCCGGGGACUGAGCCUGCCUAUUUGCCUGACGCGCUGUCAACUUUACGCAAUAAUGCGAGAGGUGGAAUUGCUUGCUUGUUUAUUAAAGUGCUUGAAAAGUUUACAGAGCAAUGUGAUCGGCUCGCGAUUCAAACUCUUAAAACAUCACAGGCUCUAAUGCAACAAGGGGAAACUCGUUGGCUGCGGUCAACAAAAACUACAGCUACCCAACCCUGCUCUCUGUCAAAAUCAAACCAGUGAAAGACAGACUGACAACGUCCUCUUAAUGUCGCCGCUAGCACCCACGUGACUCCCGUUACACAUCACCAUAGCAACCAAACAAAUGAAAACCCAGUGAUCAUUAAAAUUCAAUACAUUUAAUUAUGGCUCCUACAAGGAGAAACGAGCAAAAGAUACAGAUAUCACACUCAAGGAGAUUACACGGAUACUGGACUCUUCAGCCUGACCUCCAUGUAAGCCACUUGGUGAGUACAACAGAACUGUUUUUCUUGGUUAAAGAUGUAACUAUGUACAAUUUAUUUUAAAGUUUGAAUUUAAUAAUCAAAUGUGUUUAGGUUAGUGUUUAGGUUGGGUGAUAAAAAAAACCCCCAAAACAAACAAAAACAACCCAAACACUUGAUGUGUGGUUAUUUUUUUUAUUAUUGCUGAUAAUUAAAAUGUACUCUCCAGCAUAAACCCAUGUAACCAGUCGUAAAACAAACUGUGGGUGUUGGUGUAAUUAAAAGAUAUUUUAAAAUAACCGACUGCAGCUGUCUUUGAGUCUGACUGCCAAACCUGACAUCUUUAGAGCAAUACAAUAGAGCAAUACAAUAGAGCAAUACAAUAGAGCAAUACAAUAGAGCAAUACAAUAGAGCAAUACAAUUCAUAAGCCACAACCAUGUAAAGAUGAAAAGAAGCAAAAAAAGAAAC
rnacentral:lncRNA from 1 species